rnacentral:rRNA from 1 species
UACGUAGGGUGCGAGCGUUAAUCGGAAUUACUGGGCGUAAAGCGUGCGCAGGCGGUUCGCUAAGACCGAUGUGAAAUCCCUCGGCUUAACCGGGGAACUGCGUCUGAUACUGGAUGGCUUGAGUUUUGGGAGAGGGAUGCGGAAUUCCAGGUGUAGCGGUGAAAUGCGUAGAUAUCUGGAGGAACACCGGUGGCGAAGGCGGCAUCCUGGACCAACACUGACGCUGAGUGAGCGAAAGCCAGGGGAGCAAAACGGGGAUUAGAAACCCC